rnacentral:rRNA from 1 species
UACGUAGGGUGCAAGCGUUGUCCGGAAUUAUUGGGCGUAAAGAGCUCGUAGGCGGUUUGUCGCGUCUGCUGUGAAAACUCGGGGCUUAACUCCGGGCCUGCAGUGGGUACGGGCAGACUAGAGUGCGGUAGGGGAGACUGGAAUUCCUGGUGUAGCGGUGAAAUGCGCAGAUAUCAGGAGGAACACCGGUGGCGAAGGCGGGUCACUGGACCACAACUGACGCUGAUGCGCGAAAGCUAGGGGAGCAAACAGG